CUAGCCCUAAACGAUGUAGACUAGACGUCGGUGGUGUAAUAGCUGUCGGUGUCCAAGCUAACGCGAUAAGUCUACCGCCUGGGGACUACGGCCGCAAGGUUAAAACUCAAAGGAAUUGACGGGUCCCCGCACAAGCAGCGGAGCGUGUGGUUUAAUUCGAUGCUACACGAAGAACCUUACCUGGGUUUGACAUAGCAGUGGUAGGGAAGAGAAAUCGGACCGACCCUUCGGGGAGCUGUUACAGGUGU
rnacentral:rRNA from 1 species